CGGUAACACUAUCUCCCCUCUUUAGGCGAGUGGAGUUCAAGCUCCAACGAAUGGGGACGUCGACCUACCAUCUACCGGUGCGUCCAAGUGAAAACCUUGCUCCUUCGGCUAUUACCAUCAGCCCAGAAGAAGUAAUUCCUUUGAAAAAUGGCUAUGCCUCUGCAGUAGCUUCUCCUGCAAAACCCAAAGGAAAUAUAUUUGGGGACCCAAAUGUGAAAGCUAGAGUUACCACCCCACAAUGGAAUGCCUGUGGUCAUCUUAAAGACAAGCGACUACUAUAGGGUGAUGGCAGAGGAGUGCCAAUACACAAGUACAGAUGCUGUAAUAAUCCGAGAGAAGACACAAUCCAACGUGUCUUCGUUGAGGUUGAUGCCGCUCAAUAUCUCUGAAAUAUCUUCGGUGCACCUUUGGGAAUCAAGCAUGAAAGCUGGAAUAUUAGAAGCAUCAUCAAAAAGUGGUGGGAAGUACAGGCAAAGAACUAUAUACACAAAUUUAUACUCUAUUUUGUAUUGUUAGCAAUAUGCUUGGAAAUAUGGAGAAGUUGGUGUUCGAGCAGAUAUGGAGAACAAAAAAGAUUCUUGGUGAGGAAAAUGGAGCAACAAAUAAGCUAGACCAUACAGGCAGCCUUGAAUAUGGCCUUCGCCUUCCCCAGUUGCAAUAGAGCAGGGACUUGGCCUAUUUUUUGCGAAAAAGUAGAGCUAUGGAGACCAACUCCCAUAGUGAAACAAGUUAUUUGGCAGAAGCCUCCCACUGGAAAAAUUAAAGUCAACACUGAUGGAAGCUUUGUAAAAGGAACCGAAAGAGACGGUAUAGGAGGUUCCGUAAGGAACGACCAAGAAAAUUGGAUUAUGGCAUUUUCUUUACCAGUUCAGAGCAAACAAUAUCACUGAAGCCAUGGCUGCGAAGAUGGGUAUACAGUGGUGCAUACAGCGAGGGUAUAAUGACAUCUAUCUGGAGACCGACUCACGAAUAGUUGUCAAUAUGCUCUUAGAUAGAAGCAUCAACAAUCUCAACAUGAAGAGACUCAAUAAAGAGAAUGCAGAUAUGAUGAGCCAAACAGAAGUAAAUAUUUCGCACUGUUAUAGAGAAGCUAAUCAAGUGGCUGAUAUGUUGGCCAAAAAUAUUACGACUGGUGGAAUCACUGCCUUCUUCUACUCUUUCCAAUAAUUACUGCCUUCUUCUAGUCUUUCCAAUAAUUACCAGGAAAUGUAAAAUGACCUUUUGAACUUGAUAAGUGGCAACUUCCUAGUUUUAGAACUAGGUAUGACAAAGCUAAUGUUUUUGUAAGUUGAACCAUAUACUGUAGAACAUGAGAGGUAUACGUACAGUAGUUAACCUCUCAUGUAUUUGAAGAUUGACUUAGGUUAAUCUUGUAUUACAUCUGGAGAUUAGGUCCA